GACGAACGCUGGCGGCGUGCUUAACACAUGCAAGUCGAGCGGAAAGGCCACUUCGGUGGUACUCGAGCGGCGAACGGGUGAGUAACACGUGAGUAAUCUGCCCCCGGCUUUGGGAUAGCCACCGGAAACGGUGAUUAAUACCGGAUACGACCACUUCUCGCAUGGGAUGGUGGUGGAAAGUUUUUUCGGCCAGGGAUGUUCUCGCGGCCUAUCAGGUUGAUGGUGGGGUAAUGGCUCACAAUGGCUUCGACGGGUAGCCGGCCUGAGAGGGUGACCGGUCACACUGGGACUGAGACACGGCCCAGACUCCUACGGGAGGCAGCAGUGGGGAAUAUUGGACAAUGGGCGGAAGCCUGAUCCAGCAACGCCGCGUGAGGGAUGACGGCCUUCGGGUUGUAAACCUCUUUCAGCAGGGACGAAGCGCAAGUGACGGUACCUGCAGAAGAAGCACCGGCCAACUACGUGCCAGCCGCCGCAGUAA
rnacentral:rRNA from 1 species